UACGGAGGGGGUUAGCGUUGUUCGGAAUUACUGGGCGUAAAGCGCGCGUAGGCGGGCAGGAAAGUUGGGGGUGAAAUCCCGGGGCUCAACCCCGGAACUGCCUCCAAAACUACUUGCCUAGAGUUCGAGAGAGGUGAGUGGAAUUCCGAGUGUAGAGGUGAAAUUCGUAGAUAUUCGGAGGAACACCAGUGGCGAAGGCGGCUCACUGGCUCGAUACUGACGCUGAGGUGCGAAAGUGUGGGGAGCAAACAGG
rnacentral:misc_RNA from 1 species